GGUAUCAUUGGCCUGAAUGGAGGGUUCGUUUUCCUGGUGAGACAGGAAAAGCUCUCCAUUUGUGGUGGGAAUCACUGUGGUAGUUGCUGGGGAGACCUGGCUGUGGCCUAGGACAGGAUAGGGGUGUCCCUGCUGCUGACCUCACUGUGUUUUCCAAGACUCAAAUGCAGGACUUGUGGAUUUUAGACCCAGAAGGCAAUCUCAGUCAGUUCAGUCUGGUACCUUCUCUGUUGAGAUAAACUGUAGCCUGGAAAGGUUAACUUUCCUUUUCUGAUCAUUCUGAUGUGGUUUCUUCCUUGUUUUAGUUCUUAGGGCAAUUUUUGCCUGCUCAGUGAAUUCACUUUCCAGUUAAUCAAGUGCACACUUUCGACACCUUUUGUGGUAAUCUUGCCUUGCACUUUGAAACUGUAAAGGUUAACUUUUAAUGCACUUCUAGACCCCUUAAUUCCGUUAAACUGACUUUGGGAAGGGGGCAGUGGCGUUUGCACCUUUGGAUCCCUUGUUCCCCACAGAUGUACCCACAGAAGUAUGUUGUAGGUUUCAGAUCCCCAGGAAGCUCUCUGUUGAUCUGAUUUAAUUGAAAUACAAGCUUAGCUUAGCUGAAUCAGUCUUAGCAUCCAAAACUAGCUUACAGGUUGUUGUUCUUCCUACCACAGCUCGUUAUGCCAUUGAUAAGUGUGAGUUCUCUAAGGUGGUGGUUACUAGAGCUGUAGAUCAAGGCUGAUCUGAUGAAAACAGACUCUUAAUGGUGUUUCAUCUAAUAUUUGCAUUUUUUUGGGCUUAGGAUGCCUCGAGAAACAUCAGUUUAGUUCUUUAUGCUUGUAUUUGCUAAAAUAACCUUCUUUUGGUGAAUUGAAAAUUCUAAGAGAGCCAAAAUCACAUCGGAACAGGG